AGUGUUGUGGCUAGAGUUGUCCAUGAACUAGAUCCCCAGGCCAGUAAUGAAAGAAAGGGAAAUAAACUUAAACUGUGAAAGUACUUGUCUUAUGGUCCUAAUCACUGUUGGCAUAUUGAUGGAUAUGAUAAGCUCAAACCCUUUGGCUUCCCUAUACAUACAACAAUUGAUGGCUUUAGUAGGAAGGUUUUGUGGUUAAAGAUAUGCAAGUCAAACAACUCUCCAAAAGAGCCAACAAAAUUGUAUUUGGAUUGUGUGAUCGAACAUGAUGGAUGCCCCUUGUUAACUCGUUCAGAUUAUGGAACAGAAAAUGGUGAUAUUGCAGCCAUUCAAUGUUAUUUUCAUGAUGAUGAGAAUGCUCAUAAAUAUGAAACAUCCACUAGAAACCAAAGGAUUGAAAACUGGUGGUCACAUUUUCGUAAGUCUUGUACUGAUUGGUGGAUUUUCGAGGAUUUACGGGAUAGCGGAUCAGUGAACUUUGAAAGCACAUUACACAGACAGUGCUUAUGGUUCUGUUUCCAAGAUGUAAUUCAAGCAUCAUUAAACAAAAUGAAAGCGUACUGGAAUACGCAUUAUAUUAGGUCAUCUCGCCAUGAAACCACUCCAGGAGUUCCUGAUUUAUUAUUUUAUUUGCCAAAAGAUUCUGGGGGUGUUAACUGUCUUGUUAGGGUCAGUCAGGAUAAAAUUGAUGAAAUGAAAUUGCGUCACUUCGAAGACACCAAUGACGAAAGUUCAUAUCAGGAAUACUUUCAGUAUGUUAUGGAUCACGAAGGUGUCAGAUAUCCAGACAGUCCUAAGGAGGCCUUAGAUUUGUUUUGCUAUUUAACGGAAAAAGCUGGAACUGAAGAUUCCUUUUGUGAUGAAAUUUAAUGUUCAUUACAUAUGCCAAAAUGCAUUGCUCUUUCGUAACAAGAGCUUUAGAGUACUAACAUGAAAGAUUGAUAACAUGCUUCAAAUUGGAUUCAUUGUUACCUAACGUUUUUUUAACAAAACAAUUAAAUAUGAACUUAACUAAUAACUAA